rnacentral:rRNA from 1 species
CGGACGGGUGAGUAAUGUCUGGGAAACUGCCCGAUGGAGGGGGAUAACUACUGGAAACGGUAGCUAAUACCGCAUAACGUCGCAAGACCAAAGAGGGGGACCUUCGGGCCUCUUGCCAUCGGAUGUGCCCAGAUGGGAUUAGCUAGUAGGUGGGGUAACGGCUCACCUAGCGACGAUCCCUAGCUGGUCUGAGAGGAUGACCAGCCACACUGGAACUGAGACACGGUCCAG